ACACACCGAAGAACGCCGCCGCCGUCUCCGGCGUCGCCGGCAACACCAUCGCCACCCGAUCACCACGCCCCACCCCACGCCCCCGCAACACGUUCGCGAACCGAUCAGACGCCUCCUGCAACUCCCCCCAGCGCACCUCACGCACCGCGCCCGUAUGGUCCUCGUGAACCAUCGCGAGCUUGCCCGCCGGAUGCUUGUCACACACAUCGACGGCAAUGUUGUAACGGUCCGGCACACGCCACUCGUGCGCAGCGACCGCCUCCUCAUAGGUCAUCUCGACCCCCUUGCGGGAUGAUGUGCGGCGUGGA
rnacentral:misc_RNA from 1 species